rnacentral:rRNA from 1 species
AACGAACGCUGGCGGCAUGCCUAACACAUGCAAGUCGAACGAAGGCUUCGGCCUUAGUGGCGCACGGGUGCGUAACGCGUGGGAAUCUGCCCUUUGGUUCGGAAUAACAGCUGGAAACGGCUGCUAAUACCGGAUGAUGACGAAAGUCCAAAGAUUUAUCGCCAGAGGAUGAGCCCGCGUUGGAUUAGGUAGUUGGUGGGGUAAAGGCCUACCAAGCCGACGAUCCAUAGCUGGUCUGAGAGGAUGAUCAGCCACACUGGGACUGAGACACGGCCCAGACUCCUACGGGAGGCAGCAGUGGGGAAUAUGGGACAAUGGGCGCAAGCCUGAUCCAGCAAUGCCGCGUGAGUGAUGAAGGCCCUAGGGUUGUAAAGCUCUUUUACCCGGGAAGAUAAUGACUGUACCGGGAGAAUAAGCCCCGGCUAACUCCGU